rnacentral:rRNA from 1 species
GAUGAACGCUAGCGGGAGGCUUAACACAUGCAAGUCGUGGGGCAGCACAGGUAGCAAUACUGGGUGGCGACCGGCGCACGGGUGAGUAACGCGUAUGCAACCUGCCCUGUACAGGGGGAUAGCCCGGAGAAAUUCGGAUUAAUACCCCAUAAAGAUAUUGAGAGGCAUCUUUUAAUAUUUAAAUUUUCGGCGGUACGGGAUGGGCAUGCGUGACAUUAGCUAGUUGGUAGGGUAACGGCCUACCAAGGCUGCGAUGUCUAGGGGUCCUGAGAGGGUGAUCCCCCACACUGGUACUGAGACACGGACCAGACUCCUACGGGAGGCAGCAGUGAGGAAUAUUGGUCAAUGGGCGCAAGCCUGAACCAGCCAUCCCGCGUGCAGGAAGAAGGCGCUAUGCGUCGUAAACUGCUUUUUCAGGGGAAGAAAAUCCUGUACGUGUACGGGACUGACGGUACCCUGUGAAUAAGCAUCGGCUAACUCCGUGCCAGCAGCCGCCGUAAGAC